GAUACAAAUGUGUGAAAGUUGCCGAGGAAACUGAGCGAAACCAUUUUCUGAGGAGAAACGGAAGUGGAAGACUGAAAAAGGAGGACGAGAAGGAAGUGAAUACUGGGCGAAGAGUACGAGGACAGGGAAGAAAAUAAAUUAAAAUGGCUAAAAUUAUUCUAAAAUAAAUACAAGGACUGAGUACAGAGCUUCAACAUGUUCGCUACCAGUCUUCCCAUCACCUCUCCCUCAGUGUUUCAGUGUGCAACAAACUAGCUUAGCAACCUACCCGGCCAGUGACUACGGACGGAUGUACCCACACUCGACCAUAACACACGUACCCUACGGACGGGGUAAGUGAGAGAUGAUGCCAGUAUAUGAGGAAGAAGCUACUCCAGCACGUUCAUAAGAAGGUGCGUCUGUCUAUUUUCAUGACUGAAGACCAAGUUAAACGUCUGCGUCUAUCGUUUUCGUAACUCAAGAAUAAGUUAUCAGUUUUGCUGUUGUUUUUGUCCUCGGUGCUGUUGUUUCUUCACUCGUUUGUUGCUAUUAAUGUUAUUUUUUCUUGUAAAGGUUCUUUACUAUUGCCACCUUCUUAUCUGUUCUUAUUUGGUAAUUAAUGCCUUUGACUCGGGUACGAAUUGUCAGAAUUGAAGUUUUUUUUUUUUUUUUUUUUGUGA